GUUGUGUUAGCAAAUAUAAUGCGGUCGGCUUAGAAUCGGAAGAGGUGUAUAAACAUACACACACAACA
rnacentral:tRNA from 1 species